AGCGAACGCUGGCGGCAGGCCUAACACAUGCAAGUCGAACGAAGUCUUCGGACUUAGUGGCGGACGGGUGAGUAACACGUGGGAACGUGCCUUUAGGUUCGGAAUAACUCAGGGAAACUUGUGCUAAUACCGAAUGUGCCCUUCGGGGGAAAGAUUUAUCGCCUUUAGAGCGGCCCGCGUCUGAUUAGCUAGUUGGUGAGGUAAAGGCUCACCAAGGCUACGAUCAGUAGCUGGUCUGAGAGGAUGACCAGCCACAUUGGGACUGAGACACGGCCCAAACUCCUACGGGAGGCAGCAGUGGGGAAUCUUGCGCAAUGGGCGAAAGCCUGACGCAGCCAUGCCGCGUGGAUGAUGAAGGUCUUAGGAUUGUAAAAUCCUUUCACCGGUGAAGAUAAUGCCUGUAGCCGGAGAAGAAGCCCCGGCUAACUUCUUGCCAGCAGCCGCCGUAACAC
rnacentral:rRNA from 1 species